UAGCUCAGUUGAUAGAGUGUUUGCCUUGCAUGCACAAGGCCCUGGGUUCAAUCCCCAG
rnacentral:tRNA from 1 species